GACGAACGCUGGCGGCGUGCCUAAUACAUGCAAGUAGAACGCAGUUGCGAACGGGGGAGUAACGCGUAGGUCAAUGCCUAUGAGAGGGGGAUAACUAUUGGAAACGAUAGCUAAUACCGCAUACUAGUAGAUGGACAUGCGUUGUAUUAGGUAGUAGGUAAGGUAAUGGCCUACCUAGGCGACGAUACAUAGCCGACCUGAGAGGGUGAUCGGCCAACCGGGGACUGAGACACGGCCCAGACUCCUACGGGAGGCAGCAGGAGGGAAUCUUCGGCAAUGGGGGGAACCCUGACCGAGCAACGCCGCGUGAGUGAAGAAGGUUUUCGGAUCGUAAAGCUCUGUUGUUAAGGAAGCGGUACUUAACCAGAAAGGGACGGCUAACUCCGUGCCAGCAGCCGCGGUAAUUC
rnacentral:rRNA from 1 species